AUUAAACGCUGGCGGCAUGCCUUACACAUGCAAGUCGAACGGCAGCACGGGGGCAACCCUGGUGGCGAGUGGCGGACGGGUGAGUAAAGCAUCGGAACGUAUCCUGGAGUGGGGGAUAACGUAGCGAAAGUUACGCUAAUACCGCAUAUUCUGUGAGCAGGAAAGCAGGGGACCGCAAGGCCUUGCGCUCUUUGAGCGGCCGAUGUCAGAUUAGCUAGUUGGUGAGGUAACGGCUUACCAAGGCGACGAUCUGUAGCGGGUCUGAGAGGAUGAUCCGCCACACUGGAACUGAGACACGGUCCAGACUCCUACGGGAGGCAGCAGUGGGGAAUUUUGGACAAUGGGCGCAAGCCUGAUCCAGCCAUGCCGCGUGAGUGAAGAAGGCCUU
rnacentral:rRNA from 1 species